CUCCCUCCCUCCUCUCUCUCUCUCUCUCUCUCAGCUUUCUGAUCACCAUGUGAGCUGCUUCCCUCUUCCACACACUCCAUCAUGAUGUUCAGCCUCAACUUGAUCCCUGAGUAAUGGAGCCUGCUGUCCAUGAGCUGAGACCUCUGAAACCGUGAGCCUCCAAAUAAACUUUUCCUCCUCUAAAAUUGUUCUGGACAGCUCUUUUAGUUACAGCAGUGAAAAAGCUGGCAAAAACAGACAGGAAGGUAAGUCUGGAUCAGGGACGAUUUCAACAGGUUGGCCUCAGACCAAAUAUGACAAAAUGAGGUCACAGAGGAAGAGCAAGGUUGCGCCCUGAGGUUGGAAAAACAAAAUCCAUGAUAUCAGUGUCCAUUUUGGGAAGAUAAAGAUUAAUUACACCGCAGUACAAAUGCUGAAUCUUUAAGAAGUUGGAGAUAUGAAGUACCCUGAUUUGAUUGCACAUUGUAUACAUGUAUUGAAUCAUCACACUGUGCCUCAAUUACUGUGUGUCAGAAAAGACUGACUACAGUGUAAUGGUUCAUCUGGAUUGUCAACCUGAUGCCCAGGAGAGAUGCCCAGGACCGAGAGGAUCCCCGUGUGCCUGUGAGGAUGUUUCCCGAUAUGAUUGUCAUGUGGGACAGGAACUGAGGGGAGACGCGCCAUGAGUGUGGCAGCUCUGUGCAGCAGGCAGGGCUGGUGGGACAGAGGCAGGAAGGAGGACGCUGUGCAGACACCAGCUCCUUUCUUCUGCUGCACACCUGAGGAGGACACCGGACUCCAGGUUCUUCGCUCCUCCAACACAGAAUCGCCCCAGGCCUUCAGUCUCUGACUGGGGCUGCAUCCUUGGUCCCUUUGGCUCUGAGCCUUCAGCCUCUGGGACUGAGCACUACUGAUUCCUGCAGCCCUCCAGCCUGGAGACAGCCACGGCGGGACGACCCAGCUUCUGAUCCUUAAGCCCAUCUCGUGCAUCCCUUUUUACAAACACACAAACACACAUGCACAUCCCCAUAGACUCUGUUCUAGAGAGCCUUACUGAUACACAUAACCUCUGUAGAGAAGUGGUAGUGGUUUUUGUAGAUAGAAAAUUCUUAUUAGCAGUUCAUCUCAUGUCUCUCACAAAGUGAAUUUGGCUUUAGGUGGCAUCCCUGGAAUUUUGAAUCUAGAUGGAGACAUGAGCACCCUGUGUUUUCUCUGUCUUUAGGUCGGAUCAGGCAUGAAAUAUUGUGCCUGGGACAUUUCAGAGCACAGGUGGUGCUGGGCUUGCAGUGGGGUUGUGUCACAAUCAUGCAUUUCA
rnacentral:lncRNA from 1 species